CAGUCGAACGAGAGAAGAUCGGUGCUUGCACUGAUCCGAUCGAGUGGCGGACGGGUGAGUAACGCGUGGGUAACCUGCCUCAUACAGGGGAAUAACAGUUGGAAACGGCUGCUAAAACCGCAUAAGCGCACAGUAUCGCAUGAUACAGUGUGAAAAACUCCGGUGGUAUGAGAUGGACCCGCGUCUGAUUAGCUAGUUGGUGAGGUAACGGCCCACCAAGGCAACGAUCAGUAGCCGGCCUGAGAGGGUGAACGGCCACAUUGGGACUGAGACACGGCCCAAACUCCUACGGGAGGCAGCAGUGGGGAAUAUUGCACAAUGGGGGAAACCCUGAUGCAGCGACGCCGCGUGAGUGAUGAAGUAUUUCGGUAUGUAAAGCUCUAUCAGCAGGGAAGAUAAUGACGGUACCUGACUAAGAAGCACCGGCUAAAUACGUGCCAGCAGCCGCGGUAAUACGUAUGGUGCAAGCGUUAUCCGGAUUUACUGGGUGUAAAGGGUGCGUAGGUGGUGAGACAAGUCUGAAGUGAAAAUCCGGGGCUUAACCCCGGAACUGCUUUGGAAACUGCCUGACUAGAGUACAGGAGAGGUAAGUGGAAUUCCUAGUGUAGCGGUGAAAUGCGUAGAUAUUAGGAGGAACACCAGUGGCGAAGGCGACUUACUGGACUGCUACUGACACUGAGGCACGAAAGCGUGGGGAGCAAACAGGAUUAGAUACCCUGGUAGUCCACGCCGUANACGAUGAAUACUAGGUGUCGGGGC
rnacentral:rRNA from 1 species